CAGAAAUAUAUAUGAUGGCCUACUGGUAAAUCUGACUUCUGUGUUCACAAAAUACAGGGAGAAGACUUUCCUGUGAAUUCAGGGAGAGGAUUGCUUUUGAGAUGACGAAAGUUCAGAUUCAAUGCCAUGUACUAGACACACUGAGGUACAGAAGAAGGACUUGGUGAUGCUUGGCUCCCACCUGUGCUCUGCAGUGAGACAUGACAAAGCCCAAUCCUCAAGCCUCCUUCCUGAAAUCAGGGUUGGGAUCCUCCUGUCACCACCUGCCUUUGGUGAAACAGCCAAGCAGAGCCUUUCUGGAGCUGUGAUGUGUUGGAACUUUACAGAGGAUGAGGGAGGUCCACACCACAGAAGAAACACCCACAAAACUGAGUUUAGACAUCCCCUGGAGAUCAUGGGAACCAGAAUCAGCAGUGAGGGAUGUUAAAGAGGAACUGGCACAGUGGAGGCAACCACAUGAGUCACACAGGUCAGGGCGGUCGAAAGUCCAGUCAGGGUUUAUCAGCAGCCUCCUCAAGGAGACCAGCAGCUGAUUGUAAAUCAGGAUCAUGUUUCUCUAAAGGCUCUGGAUGCGUUUUCCUUACAUAACAGUUUAAUUACAAAGUCUUUUGCUCAUCUCUACCUGUCUUCAGCCAUCUCUGACUUAAAC
rnacentral:lncRNA from 12 species